UCACCCACACGCUGUUACUGCUGAUUCCGGCCUUAAACCCCCCCCAUUGGUUUCAUGUCCAUCCCGUGUCCAUCCCAUGUCCAUCCCGUGUCCAUGCCAUGUCAGUCACACGCUGUUACUGCUGAUUCCGGCCUUAAACCCCUCCCACUGGUCUCAUGUCCAUUCUGUGUCCAUCCCGUGUCCAUCCCAUGUCAGUCACACGCUGUUACUGCUGAUUCCGGCCUCAAACAUGCCUCGUCAGUCCCGUGUCCAUCCCAUGUUCAUCCUGUGUCCAUCUCAUGUCAGUCACAUGCUGUUACUGCUGAUUCUGGCCUUAAACAUCCCCCAUUGUCCCUUGUCCAUCCCAUGUCCAUCCCAUGUCCAUCCCGUGUCCAUCUUGUGUUGAAUUCCAGCUGAUUCCGGCCUUAAAGCCCCGGUCCCAUAUCUGUCCCGUGUCUGUCCCGUGUCGGGGUCUCGUGUCAUCACGUGUUGGCUCCCUGUUGAUCCUGGUGGUGCCUUAUCUCGUGUCGUUCCCAUGUCAUUCCUGUGUCAUUCCCAUGUCACCCUUCCCUGGAUUCGCUGCUGGUUCUGCCUUAAUCCCUUUUAAAUCCCGUGACAAUCCCGUGUCAGGCCCUUGUUUAUCCCGUGUCAUUCCCGUGUCGUCCCUCUCCCCGUGUUCCCUGCCAAUGGUGCCUUAAUCCCACGGGAAUCCUGUGUCAAUCCCAUGUAAAUCCUGUGUCAAUCCCGUGUCAGUGCCAUGUCAAUCCCACGGGAAUCCUGUGUCAAUCCUACUGGAAUCCUGUGUCAAUCCCAUGUAAAUCCCAUGUCAAACCCAUGUAAAUCCCGUGUCAAUCCCAUGUAAAUCCCGUGUCAAUCCCAUGUAAAUCCCGUGUCAAUCCCAUGUAAAUCCUGUGUCAUUCCCAUGUUGUUCCCGUGUCAGUCCUUUCCCCCAUCCCUCCCCUCCCAAGGGCAUUAAUUACCCCCCGUUAACGAGCCACGAACUCUCAGGACAAGGGGCCAGUGCCCCCCCCCCCCCUCCUGGGCUAAUUAACCCCCAUCUCUUAAUUAUUCCAGGCCAAUUAGCCCCCAUCUCUUAAUUAUUCUGGGCUAAUUAGCCCCACUCGGUUAAUUAUCCUAGGGCUAAUUAACCUCCCUGGGUUAAUUGGGCUCAUGGGUUAAUUAUUCGGGGUUGAUUGCCCCCUGGAUUGAUUAGUCAAGGCUAAUUGGCCCAACCAAUUGAUUAUUUGAGGUUAAUUAGCGUGCCCAAUUAAUUCACUCCAGGUUAAUUGUUAUUGAUGAUUCCAGAUUAAUUAGCCCAGUUAAUGUAUUAUUGAAGGUCAAUUAAUCCUAUUAAUGUAUUAUUUGAGGCUAAUUAGUGCCAUUAAUGUAUUGUUUGAGCUUAAUCGAUUUCUUUGAUUAAUUAUUUGAGGCAAAUCUGCCACAUUAAUUAUUUACGCAAGGCUGAAUGAUCCCUCUUAAUUAUUCUGGGCUAAUUAGCCCCAAUUAUUGAAGAUCCAAGGCUUUAAUGAUUAAUGGUUCUGGGCUGGUUAAUUAUUCAUUAAUUGUUCCAGGUUGAUGAGCUCCUCCAGUUAAUUAUUCGGCUUCAUUACUUGCACUGCUUAAUUUAUUCAGGGCGUUGAUUAAUUAACCGAGGCUAAUUACACCUGCAAAGAUUUAUUAGCAAAGGUUAAGGGACCCCCCUGAUUAAUUACUCAAGGCUGAUCAAUCUCUCUGAUUAUUGAAGCUUAAUUAGCCCCAGGAAUCGAUAAUUAAUUAAUUAAUUAAUUAUUUGAGCCUACUUAACUAUUCAGCGCUGAUUAACGCAGUUAAUUAUUUGAGCCUGAUUAGCUAUUUGAUUCGUUAAUUAAUUAUUUCAGCCCAAUUAGCGCUCCUAAUUAAUCAUUCCAGCUCAUUUACAUUCCGAAUCAGCCCCUCCCCCCCUCCCCUGGCGCUUUAAUUAAUUAUUUAAUUAACGGGGGAGGGGGAGGGGCGGGGCCGCGUCGGGUCGUUCCAGAGCCUUAAUUAAAGUUGAUUAAAGUCAAUUAAAAGUGGAGCGAAGUUAA